UAUGUUUUAGUGUAUAGGCACACGAAGGUUUGGUUUUCGAAGUAUUGGUGCAACUCCAAUAGAUAUAA
rnacentral:tRNA from 1 species